rnacentral:rRNA from 1 species
AGCGAACGCUGGCGGCAGGCCUAACACAUGCAAGUCGAACGAACUCUUCGGAGUUAGUGGCGGACGGGUGAGUAACACGUGGGAACGUGCCUUUUGGUUCGGAAUAACUCAGGGAAACUUGUGCUAAUACCGAAUGUGCCCUUCGGGGGAAAGAUUUAUCGCCAUUAGAGCGGCCCGCGUCUGAUUAGCUAGUUGGUGAGGUAACGGCUCACCAAGGCGACGAUCAGUAGCUGGUCUGAGAGGAUGACCAGCCACACUGGGACUGAGACACGGCCCAGACUCCUACGGGAGGCAGCAGUGGGGAAUCUUGCGCAAUGGGCGAAAGCCUGACGCAGCCAUGCCGCGUGAAUGAUGAAGGUCUUAGGAUUGUAAAAUUCUUUCACCGGGGACGAUAAUGACGGUACCUGGAGAAGAAGCCCCGGCUAACUUCGUG